rnacentral:lncRNA from 1 species
CUGAUGCCAGCUCCAGGUGCAGAGGCAAGGCUGAGUUGCUCACAGGUAGCAGUUUUAUAGGAACAAGGCUGACAACUAGCUUAAAGAGACCACAGGAUAAAAAGGGCCCCAAACCCCCAGUAUCCCUUUUUUUGUAACUCUAUGUUCAUAAUUUUGUAUAAAAGAUUCUGCAUAUUAUAUAUGCCUCAAGUCUCAUAUAUCUGGACCUGCCUCUGGUUCUAACAGCAGGACCUAUAAGGGGUUCAGAAGUAUUAAUCUAGUUGGGGCACUCAAGGUAGGUUUUGUUUUUUGUUUUUAAACUUGUCUUCACCCUGCCCUUAAUAAAGCAUAGGAUUUGGCUGGUUAGGAAGAAGUAGGCCGUCAUCAAUGAGCAGAGAGAGCUUUAGGAAAGUAUUGGUCUACAGAGAAAAUUUUGAAGAGCAAAGUUUUGAACAAUGGGCAAAACCUUUUUUAUUUUCUAAAGUUGUGAUAUCCGUGAAGCCCAAGUGCAUCAAGCUUAAGUGCAUGGUUUGAUAAAUUUUACUGUGCUUAAAACCAUGGAAUCACACCCAGAUCAAGAUAGAGAACAUAGCCACCCAGAAGUUCCUGCCUUCUGAAUAUGAAAUUCAUAAUCCCCUUUACCAAGUUUUUCUGAAAGGCAGGGUAGGGCCUACAGAGAAUGCUGAAUUUGGUGUCAGGAGGUCUUACUUGGUGUUGACCUACCAAUGGUAUGACUUUUCAGAGAGAGAAUUCAUCCCAUGGCCGGGGGUGGUAGUGCAGGGAUUCCCUCCCUUUCUUUCUUCAUGCUGAGGAUCUGGAACCCCCUGCACUCUGAUUGUCACGUCCAACUUCACACGUGGGUGGCAAAAAGUAUUAUCCAUAAUCUGGCCAGCAAUUUUGGAAUUUCACUGAUGCCUGCAGGUCUGUCUCCCAUUCAGGUCAUAUGACUGUGGACUAAGCAUUUCCCUUUGCCUUAGGUUCUUUGAAGAGUCCUACUUGCCACAUUCAGUCGGAGAAGGUGUCACAUCAAAUUCCUUCAUUUUCCUCCCUAUCUGCUAAUCAGUAGCUUUCGUCUUUGGCAGAGAGGUGGGAUGAAGCCCAAAGUCUCCUGAUGAAGGGUGGAGGAGAGAGAAAGAGUUCUAAUAGGGAAGCGGAGCUGGAGGAAGGAUGGGAAGUGCAGGGCAGAAGAUGCCAGCUCUUCCUACACCUGGACCACUUUUCCCAGCCCCACUGUGAGCCAGGCUGGGCGAAGCCCUUUCCUGGAGGAGAAAAAGCAAAAAAGUGAACAAUAUCCAUACAAUGCACUGCCCCCUCAGCCCCUCCUCUUCUGUCUCCUCUGUGUCACUAACUUCAAAUGCCCUGCAGGAAGCAAUUACAGUAUUCUAAUGAGUGCAGUUUCCAAUAACUGCAUUGUCGGGUGUGUUACCUCCUCAUCUGCAUGCUGACCGACACCUCCUCAUCUCAGAUCACCUUUCCCAGCACUGAGGCUGCCUGCCUGGUGCUUACUAGCUGGCUGGCCAUCUCCGGGCAGAGGCACCAGGGACGAGGAACCAUAAGAACACCUGUGGGGAUUCCGUGCCAAGCCAGGUCACUGAGAGUUUGGGAUGAGUCUGCAGGAGGACUCUGGGCCAGAUUGGCCCGGGAAUAAACCAGUCAGGUUGGUGGCUUUAGACACAGUUCACAUGCUUGAAGUGGUCUUUGGAGACUAAAAUAAAAUGCCACCUUAGAGGGAAAAAAAAAUGUCCCCAUGGCCUAGAUAGAUUAUAGAGAAGGGGUAAAGUGUAAUCAUUAAGAGCAUGGCUAUAGAAGUCAGGAAGACUUAUCUGAGACCAGCGUCUCCAUCGCUUCCUAGCUGUGUGACUUCCAGCAAGUUAAUUAAUUUCUAAAAUAAGCCUCAGUUUCACCAUCUAUGAAAUGGGAAUAAUAACAACCCCUACCUGAAUGGUUGUAAGUGUUUGAUGGAUAGUGAAUGUGCAAAACUCUCAGCAUUUUGUCUUGGCUCGCUGACUAAAAUGGAGCUAUUAUGGUUCUAAUACAACAUGGUCUAAUAAAGAUGGAAAAAAAUAUAAACAUGAAUUUUUGUCACUCACUGACCAAGAACUGUCCCCUCUCUCUGGCUCAAUUCCUGGGUUCAGGCCCAGGACUCUAUUCAGCACUUUCACCCACUUACCUCUAUUCUGUGUGGCCGUUACAAACAUGAAAUAAAUUUCCACGUACUUGGAGAUAAACUCUUUCAGAUGUAGCUAGUGAGAAAGGUAUGCUUUUUUUUUUAUUAUUAUUAUUCACAAUGUAUGUGUAUCUAUGUAGGUGUGAAAAUGCGUAAAACCACAUUGACCAUGGUCUCCCCCAAGGGGUGCGUGAAAAUGAUGGGGACGGAGCAGGAAGGGAGAUAAUUUCACAUUUUACUCUGGCUACUCCUAGAUUCUCCAGAUCUUUUAAAAGAGGAAAGUAUUCAGGCAUACCUUCUGCAAUGAAAAAGAGAAUCAAGAUGUGUUUAAGUGGACCAAAGUCCAAGGAUGUGUUAGUGUUGCUCUUUGGGAUCUCUGCAGGGCCUCCCCACUGAGCCAUUCUACACCCACCUCUUGCAAAGCAAAACAGCCAUCCCUUAUGUGUCAAAAUUAUAUCUAAAUUAAAAAAAAUACCUAUUAAAGUGCAAAACAGUCACCCUUUACCACCUGCUACUUGUUAUAAGUCCUUCUUUCUCGAGAGUUCACAGGAGACUGUCUCUCAAGCUUCUGACCCUCUUACCCAUUGAUUAUAAGGAUUUGGGAGUCUUAUACUCCUUAAAGUGUUUUCUAAAAAGUGACAGGAGUUCCUGUUGGGGUGCAGCAGUAACGAACCCGACUUGUAUCCAUGAGGACUCGGGUUUCAUCCCUGGCCUUGUGCAGUGGGUUAAGGAUCUGGUGUUGCCAUGAGCUAUGGUGUAAGUCACAGACAUGACUCAAAUCUGGCAUUGCUGUGGCUGUGGUGUAGGUGGGCAGCUGCAGCUCCAAUUCACCCCCAAGCCUAGGAACUUCUAUAUGACAUGGGUGCGGUCC